GUGUGCUUAGUUGAUUAGAGCGUGGUUCUGAUAACGCCAAGGUUGCAGGUUCGAUCCCUAUAUGGGACA